UCUGACUCUUUCAAUUUUGUUUUUUACUUUUUAUCGGAGCAGCGUUGCAGUGAUAAAAUUUUCGACGACGAUGCACCAAGUCUUUGUACUCCAAAACCAGCGUUUUAUCGGCCGAUAAUUUCCGACAGAAUAGCCGCGGUUCAUUGAUAUUUUCUUCUUUUCUUUCUUUUUAACACGUAUGAAUUUUCGAUGUAAAAGGUUCGAUGAGAGACGUUUCGUCCAAGUGUCGUUGUCCGGCCUUUGCGGUGUUGUUGUAUCGCGUGCAAUUUGCAUGCGAAUGCGUGCCACCGCUUACGUUAUCCACAACGCCGUUUACAAAUAACCACGAACCGGCCCCGUUUACAAAUCGCGGACAAAACUUUUGUUACUCUCUCGUCGCCUGUCUCGCGCAAACGCCUCGUUUCUUUCAGUCCUCGAGGAAACUGGGCCUCGCCUUUUUCUUCCAUGCGAUCAAGAUCACGAUUCUUUUUUCCAUAAAGAAACGCGAGGAAAAGAAUUUUGCGGACGGUUGGUGAUAAAAGAAUAAUUCCAUCGAUUCGAUCGCUCAGUCUUUUAUUCCAUUAGGUCGUUUACAAUUACGCAAUUAGAUGAAUUAUAUCGUUCGUUCUUGAAGAAGACAAACAUUACAAAUUCGAAGUGUGAACCGGGCAUCGCGUACGAAAGAGCCGGAGAGUAUCGUCCGCGAAGUUGCAAUUUGCCAAUGCACGCGGCAGUAGAGGCAAAGUGAAAGUGCAGUGCGCGCAGAGCGGCGGUUCUCGGUGUCUUGGAAGCCGGGGAGCGCAGAACCUUCUGACCUUGUCCCAAAUACUGCAACUGACUGGCUCGUUCGUACCUCUGGACUACGACGACGACGACGACGAAGACAACGACGACGAGGAAUCCACGAUAACUCGGUGAUCGGAUGAAAAGAGGAAGGAGAAGAAGAAAACGGUGAAGAAGGCAAUCCUGUCCGACGAAGCGGACAUCGUUCGAUUUGUCGUUCUUCGAUCCCUUGGAAUCUGCUAAUAAAAAGAGAACAUCGUCUGGUCGGAUCGCCAAAUUUAAGCUUCGCAUCCAGAUCCAAGGCACGAAGCUACGUACGCGGUUAGAAACGGGCUCCUUGGACUUGGCCAAGAGGUAAAGGGGUUCCGCGAGAGCUUGAAAUAUUCAAAAGCAGGUUGGAGAACGGUGAGCAAGACUUGAUAGCGUUACCUAGCUGUCGGCGAAGGGUCGACGGCACCCCAACUCGACGAUUAGCCUCCACCGUCGGCUGUCUCGCUGUUUAGCAACUAUAACUCGUCUGCUCUAAUUUCGUUGCGUCCCCCUCUUUCCUUUUCUUCCUUCUCCGUAACGCGAUGGCGAAACGGCUCUAAAUUACAGUCUCGAAAGCGAAGAAGAGUUAAGCCGCCGCUCGUGAGCGUCGGGCAAACGAUAGGGGACGCCGGGAAAAAAUGUGAAGAACUCUGUUCGCGCCGGCGGCGCAUCUGUCGAACGCGCUGGCUAUUUUUAAACGGAAAAUAUACCCUGUUUUUCCUAAAGAAAAAGCCUCUACCCUCUUUGGAAGAUUACCCUCUGUCGUCGUUGCACCCUGUUCGAAUCGAACAUGAAUAUUUCGCAUCGUCCAAGGAGCCGGCAGGUCGGAAACCCUGCAACUUCGCGGCUCGGCUCGCGCGAAAGAGGAAGCCCUCGUAUUCAACGAGCCUUCGCGUCGACGGGGUAUUCGCGCGCGAAUCUCCGUAUAGAAUGUGGAUGACACUAACCAUCGGUGCCAUGCCGGUGUAUCCGUCGUCGGUUAAUGGCGUCGAUAGUCGCCGUUGAUGACGGCGACGGUGCAUGGUGGUAGCAGCUGUCGUUACCCAGAGGCGAGCUUGCCCGUGACUAAUCCUGCAUUCCGAUUCACCAUAACCUGCCCUGCGAACCUACCCCUAUGCCCUGUGCCACGCCGAUUAAGCGUACCGGCUUAUCCUAGCCUGUCAUCCGGCGCUACAAGGAAACCGAAUCGAUACCGCCACGCGUCACCGACUCACUAAUUCUUACGUCGUUUCGCAAACAUCCAUCCGGCUACCUUCCUCCUCGGCAACAACGUGCUUCUUCGGCUUCUCUUUCGUUGUCAACUUUCCACCCCUUCGACGUCUCUCAAGACCGAUACCGUUCCUUCAUUUUCCCCGUUUCUUCGCCACUCGACCGCGCGUAACGCAAUACGCUCGACAUUUUCUCCCGAGGCAAAGACGAACCGAACCACCGUCGCGGUACAUCCUCGUGCUUAUCAAGAUUUCUUCUUCGUCCCGCGCUAAUAUCGUCCUACUACGUAACGAAAUAUUUUCAUUGCGCUCUUUGCCCACGGCAGCGAACGGAUGUCGUAGCCGCGGACGAUAUUAAAAUCAAAUCAAGCAGGAAAACGUCGGGCUAAUAUUUCUUCUCGUCGACGAAGAUUUUUAUCGAAGACGAGGAGGACUCGCGACGGAUGGAUAGAGAACGGGGAAGAUAAAGGGAACGGCUAGGAAAAUGUGAAAGGGCGAAGGGGGAAAGAGAAUUAAACGGGACGAAAAGACGAAACUCUCCGCCAAUUUUCUUCCUUUCAGAGCACGAUGCGCGCUCACCGCGAGUCUAGUGUAAUUGUGUACUUUGUGCUCGCGCUUCGAUCAGCGUUCCGUAACGAGUUGUCAUACGGCGCAAAAACACCGAUCGAUACCGUGUGCAUUACGGCCGUGUGUAACGACCGCCGUCUACGUGUGCGCCUGUCUCUCCUCUCGCCCCUUUUCACCCUCCCUCCCUCUCUCUCUCUUUGUCCGCUGCAUUUCACGUGCAAACGUGUGUGCCCAUUGUGUCUAUGGACACACCCGUUCAGCCUGUCGGAGGCUCGAGCGUAAGCACGCGACCGAAUGUCACCGAGCGAUAAGCAUUCGCCCAAGUCUUCUUCCCUCUUUCUCUUCCUGCCGAAUUUCCCAGAUUUCCCAAAUUUUCAACUGGCUCAAUAUCGGUUUCACACGAGAUCUAUGAUGACGGAAACAACGGCUUGUCCCUGAUCGCGUUCGUCACGAUUGCAGCGUACAGUCGUUAGCUAGUAUAAUCGUCGCGUCAUCGAUCGAUUUGAUUCGAUACAUGAUUCAGAACGCAACGUAGUCAAAGCACGAGCUGCUCUCUAGAGCAGCGGCAAGUUGAAUUUCCAUUCUUUCUCGGACACUGGCAAAGUUUCGCGGCAACAAACUUGGAAACUAUUCCCCUCCUUCGGUUUGUACUCAUUUACGAUGGGGUGGAAAAGUUGGUAGGCCACCUCGACUCGCCAUUCGGACAGAUAUUAUCGAUUCAACUCGAGAGAAAUUCUUUAAUUCGUAUACUCGCAAAUUGAAAAUACAAACUACCUUUCGGACGUUCGAAAGAAAAUUCAAGGAAAAUACUCUCGUUCGUAUUGUUCUCCGUUGUUCGAAGGGAAAGGCGCGUCGACGCGUAUGGAUCGAGGCGAAUGACUCACGUAAAUUACACAAACUAUAAAAAUCGAUGAACGCGUUGAUUCGUCGAGGUUGGUUUUCAACAACCCCACAAACUCCCCCGAUUUUGGCCCCUUUUUAGUUCUUCAUACCAGACGCGCGCUCCUCGUCGAAACAAAAGCCUGGUAUUUUGCAGGUUGCAGGAAACGGGUCGUACUAAAAUGGGGAAGAACGUGCGUUCUCGUCGAAUUUAUUUGUCCCGUGCACGAUUUAUCGGUUAAACGAAACCGAACGAUCUGUCUGAUUACCACAGUAGAUUCAGUUUCGGGUUGUAAAGCACUGCCGUAAUAUUCUUUUUUAACGUAACUUUGUUUCUUCUUCUACGAUUGUAAAAUCAACAGAAGAAAAAAGAAACAUUUCGCGCUCAAAGAAGUAAUAACCAUUUGAUGUUGAUAGCUGGGGGUUGUUUUCCCUCUGCCAUUCAUCGGGUAUUAGCAGAAAGAAAAGCAAAAAGGGAGGAAAAAGAAAGUUUCUUCCAAGAAGCGCGUCGCGUGGAGCGUGUUUCGCAACGAAACGAAAGGUAAGGAAAGGAAGCGAAGCGUUCGAGGGACUAGCGUGGCCGACAAAACUUCUUCAGGCGGAACCCGUUGCUCCCUUCGAUCGGAGCGUGUGUCUCCCUCUUUUUGCGGGCAGCGAGCCGGUAGAACGGGAAGGAGGUUGGUCGAGGCGGCUCGACCAGGACCUACCCCAAAUCAGCCGUUAGGCCUUUCGGCAGCCAGGGUGAGGCUCGUGCGUGCUCGGUCAAAACUUUCUCCACCGACAUCCGGCCCUAACCUUCCGCACGGGGGAACUCGUUGCGUUCGCCGCAACGCGCGGCGAAAUAAAUGUCCCGCCGUUUCGCGUACAGUCUACACCGAAAGUAUCGCGCGUCCACGUAUCCCUUUUUCCUUUUUCCUUUCCAGCUUUUCGCAAACUUUCGCGAUCCGUUAGUUUUCAAAGUGCCGCGAAACUCGCGUCGAAUCGAUUCAACCCGUUCGAAUAUUCACGUUUCCCGCCGUAUGACUCACGCGCAUAGCAAUUUAACGCGCGUCAAAACUCUCGACGCGAAGCGCGAAAAUAGCGUUUAUUAACUUACAAUAGGUUGCUUCGCACGUUUACUGUGCCGUUCACGCGCUAGUUUAGCCGAUUGUAACGCGCGAAUCGAUGGCGCGGGAAUAUGAAUCGAUACCCGUAUACCGUGUUCAAUCGACGAAUAGGUAAUUCUAUUGUGUUAGAACGGUGAAAAAAGAAAAUAGUAAGACGGAGAGUAGAAAUAGCGAGCUCGUAGUCGGGUAAUCGUCGUUCGACUUUUCGCGAGCCUGCGAUCGAUCGAAAGUGUUUUUUCGACGAGGAAAGUUCGUCACUGGCCUGGUCGCAAAUCCGAUUAACCUGACCCGGAGCCGUUGUAAACGGAGAAGCCUCGUGGCUUAUUAAUGGCCGACCAGAGCGGAGGCCAGCGAGCCCUUUUUGCUCGAACCUCGAACAAGCACGAAGAAUGCGGCGUCGUUCGACAACUUUGGCCAACGAUUUCGAUCCGGAAAGACGGUGUACCACGGCUGGUCUAGGUGCCUGGGCCACGGGCGUCUGGAAUGGGGGCUUCAGACCACCAUGCACGUGCUCGAGGAGAGGCCGGCACCGGGUGCGACCCCCGGAUACGCAUCCGAGGUGGGCACUAGUGUGACAGCAGGCGUGGAGGUCUCCGGACUAAUAUACAUAACGUACCAGAGCCCUCCUUUAUCGCCAGUGUUGGUCGCCGUAGGGUUGUAGCACUGAUGUAUCAGUGGGUUUUCGUCAGUAGGAAUCUGACACUCGCCCGCCGCUCUUCCCCAGUGGUCGAUGGGGGUCUUAUGCAAACUUCCCCACGUUAAAAAAAAGAAAUAUUUACAGCCACUGAUUCCAACAAAGGUAGCUGGCCAUAGAUGGCUGGGGCACCGUUAGCAAUCGUUUGACAUACAGCGAAAUGAAACAUCAUCAGUCUUAUACCGACCGCCGAAGGAUGCAGAUCUACCUGCCAAACAUACAUAUACCCAUAUUUUAUUUUCUACGUUCAUUUAAUUCCCUCUAUUUAUCUUCUUAGCUUAUUGAAUAAACUCAUUAGAAAGACGAACGUGUUGAUUUUAUUACUCCCGUGUGCAUCCUUUACAUCCCUGAUUCCUUUACAUCUCUGCACCCCUUAUAAACCUGCAUUAUUUACAUCCCAGCAUUCAUUACAUCACUGCAUCCUUUAC